rnacentral:rRNA from 1 species
CCAAUAGCGUAUAUUAAAGUUGUUGCAGUUAAAAAGCUCGUAGUUGAACUUCGGGGUUUACCCAUUGGUCAGGCUUAAUUGUCUGUACUGGUGAGAUAAAUCUCUACCUUCUGAGGAACUUUCAUGUCAUUAAUUUGGUGUGAUUGGAAAUCAGGACUGUUACUUUGAAAAAAUUAGAGUGUUUAAAGCAGGCUAACGUCUGAAUACAUUAGCAUGGAAUAAUGAAAUAGGACGGACUGAUUCUAUUUCGUUGGUUUUUAGGAUCACCGUAAUGAUUAAUAGGGAUAGUCGGGUGCAUUAGUAUUCAAUUGUCAGAGGUGAAAUUCUUGGAUUUAUUGAAGACCAACUACUGCGAAAGCAUUUGCCAAGGAUGUUUUCAUUAAUCAAGAACGAAAGUUAGGGGAUCGAAGACGAUCAGAUACCGUCGUAGUCUUAACCAUAAACUAUGCCGACUAGGGAUCGGACGAAGUUAAUUUUAUAAUGACGCGUUCGGCACCUUACG